rnacentral:lncRNA from 1 species
AUUCAUCGGCGCCGUUUCCGCCGCUAACAAUGUACCGGCGAUCGCGUGACGUAGCUGCAACUGCUCGAAGAACAAGACUUGGACCACCGCACGUAAUGGUAAACGCUCAUUUUGUGCCGCGUGAGUGCAUGCUUCGAGUGUAAGCUUUUGACAGUCUAAUACUCCGCAUAUCUUUUCCCGCUCCGAUUCAGGUAUCCAUGGAUGCGCCUUCAAAAAAAAGUAUAAGAAAAGCUUAAUUAACUAAUUUAAAUCAUGUUUUUUCAAAAUUUAAACCGCUUGUUUUUGUUAAUUGUACCUUGAGGUAUACGUCGACAGCUCUGUAAAGUCCAUCGUCGAAAUUUCUAGCUUGAUCGGGAAGCGAAAUCGCGAGGUUAUAGAACUUUUCCGGUUUCAAAUUGGCGUCGGAUGCGAUCUCAGAAAGGUAACCGUCGAUUAAUUUUCCGACCAGCAUCAGUGCAGGCAGCCUACUGCUAUUAAUAAUGUUAUCGUUGUUGCCUUCGUUUUCGGCUUCGAUUCCUGCAGCGUUUCUCUCUUCUAAUCCAUCCAGAAAAUAACCUAAAAUCCUCUCAAUGCAAUCGACGUCAUAGAGCGUUUCGUUGAGAUACGAAUAGCUCGGGAUUAACAGAUCGUCUAACGUUGCCUGCU